rnacentral:rRNA from 1 species
UACGUAGGGAGCAAGCGUUGUCCGGAAUCAUUGGGCGUAAAGCGCGUGUAGGCGGCUAGGUAAGUCUGCUCUGAAAGCCCGGGGCUCAACCCCGGGAGGCGGGUGGAUACUGUCUAGCUCGAGUCCGGAAGAGGAGUGUGGAAUUCCUGGUGUAGCGGUGAAAUGCGGCAGAUAUCAGGAGGAACACCAAUGGCGAAGGCAGCACUCUGGGACGUGACUGACGCUGAGACGCGAAAGCGUGGGGAGCAAACAGG